AGUCCCGCCCGCGUCGCCCGCCAGCCCCGGGACAGCCCGCCUGGCGCGCGGGGCUCUGCGCGCUGCGACCCUCCCCGGCAGUCCCGCCCGCCUCUCCUCGCCCUCUCUCUGCCUGGCCUCCAACUUUGCCUCUCGCUAUCCUCUCCGCCGGCGCCCCCUUUCCCGGCGGUCCCCGGGAUGGUCCCCGGCACCCCGAGGACGCCGAGGUUACGGGAAGUUCGGGGACUGGCGGGAGAAGGGGUUUGGGGGUGGUCCGCGGCGAGGGGCGCGGGGUGCAUCUUCUCUUCCUUUUAUGCUGAGUGGGUCAGCUCAUCACAGGCCUGCGGCCCCUGCAUGGGUGACAGAGGAGGCAAAGAUGACACAGAGAAACUAUCCCUUCAGGGACAGAGUGGGGACACCCACGAGCUUGGCUCUGCCUUACAAAGAAAUGAGAAGGAACCCCGUUCCUGCUUUUCACCUUAGGGCUGCCACACUUGUGUAUCCCUUCUUCCUUGAAUUUAACCAGGAGUGA
rnacentral:lncRNA from 1 species